rnacentral:rRNA from 1 species
CAUUGGGGAUGAAAUCUCCCAAGUAGUAAUAACACUACCAGCAGUCGAGAAUAUUAGUCAAUGCUCGUAAGAGUGAACUAGCUAACUGAAAUCAUAGAAUUUCUUCAAAUUCAUGAUGUCGUAAGGGAAAAUAAUGAUAAUACCUUACUAUGAGUGUCGUCCAAAUCUGGUGCCAGAAGACUCGGUAAGACCAGAGACGCAAACGUUAAUCAUCAUAAACAGGCGUAAAGGGUUUGUAGGCAGCUUUUAUAAGAUUAUAUUAUUUUGAAAAAAAUAGUGUAAACUAAAUUGAAAGCUAGAAUCAAAAAGAGGUUAUAGUGUAUAACGCCUAGAGGAGGGCUGAUAUCCAUAGAUCCUAGGCAGAAUACUCAGGGCGAAGGCCACUCUCCACUAAUGAUUGACGCUGAGAAACGAAGGUUAGGGUAGGAAAUAGGAUUAGAUACCCCGGUACUCCUUUCUGUAAACGAUGAAUGGUAGUCAUUAGUUAAAUUAAAUAACUAGAGGCGAAGUUAACACAAUAACCAUUCCGCCUUGUGAGUACUACUGCAAAGUAGAAAACAAAAAAAUUAGUCGGUCUCGAAGCAAACGGAGUGAAGCAUGUUAUUUAAUACGAUAAUCCGCGUAAAACCUUACCAGAACUUGCAUACAAACUAUAAAUUUUCUUUCCUAGAAAAGGAUUAGGA